UGAGAAAGACAUAAAGGCUAUGGUGCUGGCUUGAAACCAGUUUUAGGGGGUUCGAAUCCUUCCUUUCUUAUAC
rnacentral:tRNA from 1 species